CCACGGGAAUGACCAUCCCCCAACAUCCCUAUCACCCUGCACCCCCCACACCCCGCCUGCUCUCCCAGCCUCCCAGUGGACCAACGGGAUGUAGUAGCAGCAGCUGCUGCUGCAGCAGCACGCGCGAGCUCAUCUGCCCGAAAGGCGCGUCUUUUUUUUUUGACGGGCGCCGUGCAUCGCGAGCGCGAGCUGCGAUUCUUCCCUUUGUGUCGCACGCACGCACCUUGCCGCGUAGGACACUGCAAGAGCAAUGAAAGGAAUCAAUCACGGCGUAUCGGCGGACGUGGUGCCGUUGGAAAAUUCUUUAUUUAUUUGCGCGCUCGUUUUUUAUUUUGUAAUUGAUGCAAUUUUAAACGUUGUGACACUCCCCAAAGGCGAGUGGCUGCAUUCACUUGGUGUAAUUCUUUUGAAAAACCGUCCGUGUCGAGGCAUGGAACUAUGCAGGUUACUUGACUCUUAAUGUCAACGCCCUUUACUGUCAUGCGCUUCUCAGAUCCCAGCAGUGUGCCGUUUUGCUGUGGUCAAAUUUGUUUUAUGAUAAGAUAACAAAACGUGUACAUUAGUCUACAACAAGUCUUUGGAAUAAGUCCCGUAUUCAGCACAAGGAAUAUGUUCGAAGAUUAAUAUUGUGUGCAACUUCUGUUCUUGUUAUCAUUUUUAGCAUUGUAUGUUGUUAAUAAAAAAUAAACAAAUAUGAAGGAUUUCUUUAAUAUAACACAUUUUGUUAGUGUCAAAAGAUGUAAAAAAAAAUAAGCCGUAACCUAACAUUGUUUGAAAAGAUGCACAAGCAUUAAUGGCUGAGUUAAUGUUAUUAAUAUAAGUUAUUGAACACAAUUAAGUUCACCAAAAGAUGUUUAUCAAUGACGUCCAGUAAGUCUGAACAUUUGUUAUUGUGUGCUCUUAUGAGUUCAGUCCGUCACAAAUGCGUGGUGAUCACUCAAGAGGCUAGAGGAUGGAUCCUGAACACUACCUAGUGGGUGGAGACCCCAAAAACGGCGCUGGCCAUAUCGCAACAAGGUUUACCCACGGGCAAACAUAAACCGGUAGCUCGUGAUGCAAGUUUCUAAACUGCAUCGCUGUUUGCACCAUGUAUCUUCACGUCCCAUUAAUCCUCACAACUGAAGGUGAAUGUGCAUAUUGUGAUCAUUCUUGUAUGAUAUCCAGCUGCCUGUAUCAUACAUUUCGGUAAUUCAGUUUUAUACCUUAAAAUUUGAUGAUAUUGGGGCUACUGAAGUUAACUAUCUGAAUCAUGUCCAGAUGCUUUUUUGUACAUAUUUAAAUUUAGCAUAUUGAUACGGCUUAGUUGUAUUUGCUUUGUUGAAAUUUUCUUAUCGGAUAAUUGACGGGGAAGAAUGCAGAUGUAUCAAUAAUAUUUUUGUUAGCUAUAUUUAAUGUGGACAAAGAGAUUUUAACAGAUUUUACAUUUCAUUAAUUCGUCAAAUCAGCAAAAAAAAACACUCAGUAUUUUUGGCAGAUUUAUCCUGAGUAUGUGAAUGUUCAAAAGUCGAAGUGAUUUCCUGCUCAAAGGAGUAUUAGAGCAGUGCUUUUUUCCUGUUUACGUCCCUGAGCCAGUUGUGGAAAUUCAACAGUCAUAUGGUGGGGGCAAGUCUAUCCCUAGGACAAACGCUGUUGACUUCCUCACAAAGUGGUACUCGUUCAAAACCAAAUUGCACGGCAAUCCCUUUGCCUACACGUGGGUGCAGUGACACAUGCCGAGUACCACAUUGAAAGCUCUUUAUGCCACUUGACCGGUGCAGCAGAAUUUAGCGUCAAUGUUUUCGCAAACUUAAUGGCGAGAAAUCUAUUGCGAUUGUGAAUCCAGAUGUGAUUGCCGCGGGGAAGUCCUUUGCUCUCUGAAAUCGGAGCCGGACCAUGAAUUGUUGAAGAUGCAGCGGUUCUCUGAAUCCCUCUGGUCUCUUAAGUGCGAAGCUCCACCAGAUGAAAAUGGAUUAUGUGACUGUUAUAAUGCACAAAGUAUAUGAUUGUGGGAAUUGUAUAGAACUGAACAAUUUACUACUCCAACUCAUUUACUUGGAGAACUUUUAUUUAUUCUUCUUUUGUAAUCUCUUGCUUGAAGGCUCUUGAAAACAUAGUCAGAGCUGCAUUUGUGGGUCAUCUUAAUACAAUUUAACUCUUUAGCUUUUCCUCUCAAUUAUAUUCCAAAUGUGGCGUCGACAUCCAGGGCACGAUGCUAGGAAAUUUCUGUGUGAAACUUUCAUAGCGAGCAGUGCACCACGUGGCAUAGGAGGAUGACCCUGGAAGG